rnacentral:rRNA from 1 species
AACGAACGCUGGCGGCAGGCCUAAUACAUGCAAGUCGAGGGGCCCGUAAGGGCACCGGCGCACGGGUGCGUAACGCGUGGGAAUAUACCCUUCACUACGGAACAACGUCGGGAAACUGACGCGAAUACCGUAUGAUGACUCCGGUCCAAAGAUUUAUCGGUGAAGGAUUAGCCCGCGUCUGAUGAGCUAGUUGGAGAGGUAACGGCUCAGCAAGGCGACGAUCAGUAGCUGGUCUGAGAGGAUGAUGAGCCACACUGGGACUGAGACACGGCCCAGACUCCUACGGGAGGCAGCAGUAAGGAAUAUUGGACAAUGGAGGAAACUCUGAUCCAGCCAUGCCGCGUGAGUGAAGAAGGCCUUCGGGUUGUAAAGCUCUUUUAAUCGUGAAGAUAAUGACGGUAGCGAUAGAAAAAGCUCCGGCUAAAUUCGUGCCAGCAGCCGCCGUAA